UAUUUUCCUUUUUUUCCCGCCGCCGCGGUAAUACGGAAGGUCCGGGCGUUAUCCGGAUUUAUUGGGUUUAAAGGGAGCGUAGGCCGGAGAUUAAGCGUGUUGUGAAAUGUAGACGCUCAACGUCUGCACUGCAGCGCGAACUGGUUUCCUUGAGUACGCACAAAGUGGGUGGAAUUCGUGGUGUAGCGGUGAAAUGCUUAGAUAUCACGAAGAACUCCGAUUGCGAAGGCAGCUCACUGGAGCGCAACUGACGCUGAAGCUCGAAAGUGCGGGUAUCGAACAGG
rnacentral:rRNA from 1 species